ACUCCUACGGGAGGCAGCAGUGGGGAAUAUUGCACAAUGGGCGCAAGCCUGAUGCAGCCAUGCCGCGUGUGUGAAGAAGGCCUUCGGGUUGUAAAGCACUUUCAGUCGUGAGGAAGGUAGUGUAGUUAAUAGCUGCAUUAUUUGACGUUAGCGACAGAAGAAGCACCGGCUAACUCCGUGCCAGCAGCCGCGGUAAUACGGAGGGUGCGAGCGUUAAUCGGAAUUACUGGGCGUAAAGCGCAUGCAGGUGGUUUGUUAAGUCAGAUGUGAAAGCCCGGGGCUCAACCUCGGAAUAGCAUUUGAAACUGGCAGACUAGAGUACUGUAGAGGGGGGUAGAAUUUCAGGUGUAGCGGUGAAAUGCGUAGAGAUCUGAAGGAAUACCGGUGGCGAAAGGCGGCCCCCUGGACAGAUACUGACACUCAGAUGCGAAAGCGUGGGGAGCAAACAGGAUUAGAUACCCUGGUAGGAUAGCG
rnacentral:rRNA from 1 species